rnacentral:rRNA from 1 species
UACGGGGGGGGCAAGCGUUGUUCGGAAUUACUGGGCGUAAAGGGCUCGUAGGCGGCCAACUAAGUCGGAUGUGAAAUCCCCAGGCUCAACCUGGGAACUGCACCCGAUACUGGAUGGCUUGAAUUCGGGAGAGGGAUGCAGAAUUCCAGGUGUAGCGGUGAAAUGCGUAGAUAUCUGGAGGAAUACCGGUGGCGAAGGCGGCAUCCUGGACCGACAUUGACGCUGAGGAGCGAAAGCCAGGGGAGCAAACGGG